rnacentral:rRNA from 1 species
UAGGGAAUCUUCGGCAAUGGACGGAAGUCUGACCGAGCAACGCCGCGUGAGUGAAGAAGGUUUUCGGAUCGUAAAGCUCUGUUGUAAGAGAAGAACGAGUGUGAGAGUGGAAAGUUCACACUGUGACGGUAUCUUACCAGAAAGGGACGGCUAACUACGUGCCAGCAGCCGCGGUAAUACGUAGGUCCCGAGCGUUGUCCGGAUUUAUUGGGCGUAAAGCGAGCGCAGGCGGUUAGAUAAGUCUGAAGUUAAAGGCUGUGGCUUAACCAUAGUAGGCUUUGGAAACUGUUUAACUUGAGUGCAAGAGGGGAGAGUGGAAUUCCAUAUGUACCGGUGAAAGGUGAAGAUAUAGAUAUGAGGAGGAACACCGGAGGCGAAAGCGUCUCUCUGGCUUGUAACUGACGCUGAGGCUCGAAAGCGUGGGGAGCAAACAGGAUUAGAUACCCUGGUAGUCCACGCUGUAAACGAUGAGUGCUAGGUGUUAGACCCUUUCCGGGGUUUAGUGCCGUAGCUAACGCAUUAAGCACUCCGCCUGGGGAGUACGACCGCAAGGUUG